rnacentral:rRNA from 1 species
UGGGGAAUAUUGGACAAUGGGCGCAAGCCUGAUCCAGCAACGCCGCGUGGAGGACGAAGGUCUUCGGAUCGUAAACUCCUGUCAGAUGGGACGAAGGGAUCAGGGUGAAUAAUCCUGGUUCUUGACGGUACUAUCAGAGGAAGCCCCGGCUAACUCCGUGCCAGCAGCCGCGGUAAUACGGAGGGGGCGAGCGUUAUUCGGAAUUAUUGGGCGUAAAGGGCGCGUAGGCGGCCUGGCAAGUCAAAGGUGAAAUCCCUCGGCUCAACUGAGGAACUGCCUUUGAAACUGCCUGGCUUGAGGCCGGGAGGGGGUAGCGGAAUUCCCAGUGUAGCGGUGAAAUGCGUAGAUAUUGGGAGGAACACCAGUGGCGAAGGCGGCUGCCUGGACCGGUUCUGACGCUGAUGCGCGAAAGCGUGGGUAGCAAA